CCAUCAUGGGGGUAAUUCUCAUUCCUGGGCUACCAUACGCUCUCAAAGGCAGCGUAACCAACCUGGCCAUUUUCAAUGUAAAAAUAUUUGACCCAUAUAUUUGACCUUGUAACUUUCAAAAAUGCUAUAAAACCUGUACAUGGGGGGUACUGUUUUACUCAGGAGACAUCGCUGAACACAAAUAUUAGUGUUUAAAAACUGGAAAACGUAUCACAACAAUUACAUCAUCAGUAAAAGUGCUGUUUGUGUGUGAAAAAUGCAAAAAAAGUAACUUUCACUGACAAUAUCAUCGCUGUGAUAUGUUUUA